GCAAGGGAUUUUCCGCAAUGGGCGCAAGCCUGACGGAGCAACGCCGCGUGGAGGAUGACGGCUUUCGGGUUGUAAACUCCUUUUGGGUGGGACGAUUGUGACGGUACCACCCCAACAAGCCCCGGCUAACUACGUGCCAGCAGCCGCGGUAAUACGUAGGGGGCCAGCGUUGUCCGGAUUUACUGGGCGUAAAGCGCGCGCAGGCGGCGGCGUAUGUGCCGUGUGAAAGCACCAGGCUUACCUUGGUGAGGUCACGGUACACAGCGUCGCUUGAGCCUCGGAGAGGUCGGUGGAAUUCCGGGUGGAGCGGUGAAAUGCGUAGAGAUCCGGAGGAACACCAGAGGUGAAGACGGCCGACUGGCCGAGUGCUGACGCUGAGGCGCGACGGCGUGGGGAGCGAACCGG
rnacentral:rRNA from 1 species